CAGCAGCCACGGUAAUACGGAGGGUGCAAGCGUUAAUCGGAAUUACUGGGCGUAAAGCGCACGCAGGCGGUCUGUCAAGUCGGAUGUGAAAUCCCCGGGCUCAACCUGGGAACUGCAUUCGAAACUGGCAGGCUAGAGUCUUGUAGAGGGGGGUAGAAUUCCAGGUGUAGCGGUGAAAUGCGUAGAGAUCUGGAGGAAUACCGGUGGCGAAGGCGGCCCCCUGGACAAAGACUGACGCUCAGGUGCGAAAGCGUGGGGAGCAAACAGGAUUAGAUACCCCGGUAGUCCCUGUCUCUUAUAC
rnacentral:rRNA from 1 species